UACGUAGGGGGCAAGCGUUAUCCGGAAUUAUUGGGCGUAAAGCGCGCGUAGGCGGCUUGUUAAGUCAGGCGUGAAAUCCGGGGGCUUAACCCGCGGCUUGCGUCUGAAACUGGCAGGCUUGAGUCUGGUAGAGGAGUGUGGAAUUCCCAGUGUAGCGGUGAAAUGCGCAGAUAUCAGGAGGAACACCAGUGGCGAAGGCGGCUUUCUGGGCCACGACUGACGCUGAGGCGCGAAAGCUAGGGGAG
rnacentral:rRNA from 1 species